GCAUCCCGAAUAUAUUUAUAAGUAUGAAAUCAUGUCAAACUCAACAUAUAUUUUUUAUUGAUUCUUUAUCAAUCAAUGAUAACUCUAAUGAAAUUUUAGAAUCCCUAUCUAACCUUCAUUUAUUUUGGCCAAAGUCUUUUUGAGUUUAUCAAGAGAAAAGAAUACAUAGGAUGUCAUCUCUUCUUACUAAGAGUGAUCAAUUCCUUGUUGACCUACUCACAACUUUCAUACAUACUCCACCA
rnacentral:lncRNA from 1 species